GUCCCUGUAGCGCAAUGGACAGCGCGUUGGACUUCUAUCCCAAAGGUCGAGGGUUCAAAUCCCGCCUGAGAUG